rnacentral:rRNA from 1 species
AUUCCAGCUCCAAUAGCGUAUAUUAAAGUUGUUGCAGUUAAAAAGCUCGUAGUUGAAUUUGUGGUGGUUUCUAUGGUCCAAAAUGUUUUGGUACUGUUGGUCACUGCCAUGGUUGGGUGGAACUUGUGAGGCAUUAGGUUGUUUUGCGGGGGAUGCCCAUCAUUUACUGUGAAAAAAUUAAAGUGUUCAAAGCAGGCUUAUGCCGUUGAAUAGAUUAGCAUGGAAUAAUGAGAUAGGACUUGGGUACUAUUUUGUUGGUUUGCGCACCAGAGUAAUGAUUAAUAGGGACAGUUGGGGGUAUUCGUAUUUCAUUGUCAGAGGUGAAAUUCUUGGAUUUUUGGAAGACGAACUAUUGCGAAAGCAUUUACCAAGGAUGUU